rnacentral:misc_RNA from 1 species
UUUUAGCGAGGAUUGUUUUUGCAGUCUGGUGACUAUGUGUCGGUCAAGCUGAAGCAGACAGCACGUUAUGCUCCGGCCGGUUUUCUCGGCAUGUGAAGUAUAGCUGUCAUGAAAAUUGUGUCUGACGCCAAAAAGAGCCCGUCCUUGCACUGAAAAGAGACGCGUCUGCGAGAUCUCCUGAACGAACCCUCUAGGACAAUGCGUCCGGCGUGUUGUUAUUUUAUGGCUGCUACGGCCACAAUUGCUGCUUACUACUUGCCCGAGGUGUGCGGCCAGAAGCCUUACGACGUGCGGCUACCAGAGGAACACAUGGGCAUGUUCUUUCACAACAGCCCUGAAGCUGCGCGCAGCUGUCGGGAGGAACCUGCCUGCCCGCACAAGCAUUUCAUCAAUGCGAAAACCUGCUGGGGAUACGAGCCUGGCUGCUUGCCACAACACAGAUACUGUCUUGCCGCCUGUCCUGAGGGUUCAGCUGGGUGGGCAUCAAACAAACAGCAGCAAGAGCAGCUUUUCUUCAACCAGGGUGACUUUGGCUUCAUCCACGAACGUAAGAAGACUCUCGGCAUUCUCUGUCGGCCGCACAAACCGGGUGCUUCAUUGCUGGAAUGUGUCCGUCACAUGGAACUCUGUCGGGCCAAGAACAUACGUCUGGACUUCCAACGCUUGCUGAGCAUGACUGGGCUUGUCAAGUACCGAGAGGACAUCCUGGGCCCUGGCCUUGUUGGCGGCUACUGUCGGCUCGACAAAGACUCUCUGCACCUUGAAGGGGACCACAAGAGCCCUUUACAAUCAUGGUACGCUGAACUGGAGCACUUUGAAGAGUUCAAAGAGCUGCCUUUCGAGGAAAGUGGCUGUGAUGUUAUCCUGGGUCGGCCAACGGUCAUCAUGAAGCUCGAUGCCACUGUGAACAUGUACCACCACUUCUGCGACUUCCUCAACCUCUACCUGACCAUGCACUUCAACAAUAGCCUCGCUGGGGAUUUCGACAUCCUCAUCUGGGACACGCUCCCUUACAAGGGCACGUUCCUGCCAAUGUGGUCAGCAUUCCAUUCGGGAAAGCUGAGAAGCCUGUCUGAGUUUCGAGGAAAGAAGGUGUGUCUGCGAGAGGCACUGUUUGCCUUCCUGCCACGCAUGAUCUUUGGCAUGUACUACAACCUGCCUCUGGUUCCUGGCUGUCAUUCAAGUGGGGUGUUCAAAGCCUUCAAUCGCCACGUGCUGCACAAGCUUGAUGUUAAAGUGCUCCCACCGGAAGAUUAUGUACGUGUUACGCUGCUAUCUAGGGGAACUAAGCACCGUCGCAUUCUAAAUGAAGACGAGCUGCUUGCAGCAGCUAGGAAGCUUCCAGAUGCAUCUGUGCAGAGGGUCCACUUCAACCAUGCAACUGACUUUCGUCACCAAAUUGAGGUUGGCUCACCAGAUUCCUCCUUUGUUUUUCUCGCUCUCUCCAUCCUUGCAUUCCUGGCAUCCACGCAUAAAUAUAAUGGCAAACACUGAUGUGCUCAUCGGAAUGCAUGGUGCUGGUUUGACACAUGUGCUGUUCCAGCCAGACUGGGCCGUCCUUUUCGAGAUCUACAACUGUGACGACCCAGUGUGCUACAAGGACUUGGCACGACUGCGCGGCGUCAAGUAUCUCACGUGGGAAAACACCACAAAACUUCGCCCUGAAGAUG